rnacentral:rRNA from 1 species
GACAGAGGUGGCAAGCGUUGUUCGGAUUCAUUGGGUGUAAAGGGCAGGUAGGUGGUCCGAUAAGUCUGAUGUGAAAUCCCAUGGCUCAACCGUGGAACUGCAUUGGAAACUGUCUGACUUGAGUAUCGGAGAGGUGAAGGGAAUUCUCGGUGUAAGGGUGAAAUCUGUAGAUAUCGAGAGGAACACCAGUGGCGAAGGCGCUUCACUGGCCGAUUACUGACACUGAGCUGCGAAAGCAAGGGGAGCAAACAGG